UACGGAGGGUGCAAACGUUGCUCGGAAUCAUUGGGCGUAAAGCGCACGUAGGCGGACUGUUAAGUCGGAUGUGAAAUCCCUCAGCUUAACUGAGGAAGUGCACUCGAAACUGGCAGUCUUGAGUAUGGAAGAGGGUCGCGGAAUUCCCGGUGUAGAGGUGAAAUUCGUAGAUAUCGGGAGGAACACCAGUGGCGAAGGCGGCGACCUGGGCCAAUACUGACGCUGAGG
rnacentral:rRNA from 1 species